GUAUCAUCACAUCGGGAAGGAUUUAUGGGUGAAAGCAUUCACUUAAAGGUUAACAGUUCUUGGGAUGAAAUAUUAUGGAAAUAUAAUGCAGACAAAAUUGCGGAAUGCAUCAAGAGCAAUGGUAAAGCACAAUACUAUGGCAUCUAUAGAGGUCGAGUGAGCCUGAACUGCAGUGAUGGAUCUCUAACAAUUUACACACUGACAUCUGAAGACAAAGGGGAAUACUCCGCUGAGCUGCAGGUUACUGCCAGAACACUCACAGAAAAGAUUUCUCUAGAAAUAUUCACCCGAGUACCUAAACCAGUAGUGAAUUGCACGGUUACCAACUCUGAAGUGAUUUUAGAGUGCAAGGCAAAAAGUACAGACACCACUUACAGAUGGAGCAGCACUAGAAGCAAAAUUGAAGACGGGUCGAUUAUUCAGAAACUGAGAAAUGAGACUGAUGACACAGAAUACAUAUGUAUUGCCAGCAAUGAAAGGAGUGAAGCCAGGAGUGACCCUAUUAAAAUUACAAACUGCAUUAGAAGAGACAACCUUCCAACCUGGAGUCUUGCAUCCAUUGCUGUAGGAUCCUGUGCAGUCUUAGUAAUAAUAGCAAUAAUAGUAUCCUGUUAUUUUUAUAAAAAAGGUAAUGCUGAACGGUCUGAUGAACAGCCUAAAGAGAAGGAGUUACUUAUGCAAUCUAACAAUGACUCAGGUCAGGUCUUGAUUUCUUCUUCAGUAGACACAGUCUAUUUUAAAGAACUGUGUUUGCACUGAUGUCAUAAAUGGCACAUUUUUUACAGUGAACGGCAAAUGUUUAGGACUUCCAGGAGCUUUUUUUUCUCUCAGUCCAGUGUAUGUGUCACAGAUGUCUGAAGGAACAAACCGUGGAAUGGCAGGAGAGCGAAAAUAGACCCUAUUCGUAGCAGCGAGACGGGGGUUAGCCCGGGCUCAGCUG